UGGGGAAUUUUGCACAAUGGAGGAAACUCUGAUGCAGCUACGCCGCGUGAGUGAUGAAGAUCUUCGGAUUGUAAAACUCUUUCCUUAGUGAAGAUAAUGACAGUAACUAAGAAGCAAGCCCUGGCUAAAUACGUGCCAGCAGCCGCGGUAAUACGUAUGGGGCAAGCGUUGGUCGGAAUUAUUGGGCGUAAAGGGUACGUAGGCGGUUUAAUAAGUCCUAAUUAAAAGGCUAUGGCUCAACCAUAGUAUGGUUAGGAAACUGUUGAACUUGAGGAGCUGAGGGGAAAGUGGAAUUCCAUGUGUAGCGGUGAAAUGCGUAGAUAUAUGGGGGAAAACCAAUGGCGAAGGCAACUUUCUGGAAUCAAACUGACGCUGAGGUACGAAGGCGUGGGGAGCAAACAGG
rnacentral:rRNA from 1 species